rnacentral:rRNA from 1 species
UACGUGGGGUGCAAGCGUUGUCCGGAAUUAUUGGGCGUAAAGAGCUCGUAGGCGGUUUGUCGCGUCGGCUGUGAAAACCCGGGGCUCAACCCCGGGCCUGCAGUCGAUACGGGCAAACUAGAGUGUGGUAGGGGAGACUGGAAUUCCUGGUGUAGCGGUGAAAUGCGCAGAUAUCAGGAGGAACACCGGUGGCGAAGGCGGGUCUCUGAGCCAUAACUGACGCUGAGGAGCGAAAGCGUGGGGAGCGAACAGG